rnacentral:tRNA from 1 species
GGUGUAGAAGCGAAGUGGUCGAGCGGCACGUCUUUCAAGCGUGUGAUUAACGGGUACCGCUUCGCGGAAGCAAGCUACAAGUCCCGUCUGCACUGCCA